rnacentral:rRNA from 1 species
GUAAGGAACUUGCCUCUUGGACUGGGACAACUGUUGGAAACGACAGCUAAUACCGGAUAUUAUGAGAUUCUCGCAUGAGAAACUUAUGAAAGCUAUAUGCGCCAAGAGAGAGCCUUGCGUUCCAUUAGCUAGUUGGUGGGGUAACGGCCCACCAAGGCGACGAUGGAUAGCCGGCCUGAGAGGGUGAACGGCCACAAGGGGACUGAGACACGGCCCUUACUCCUACGGGAGGCAGCAGUGGGGAAUAUUGGACAAUGGGCCACAAGCCUGAUCCAGCAAUUCUGUGUGCACGAUGAAGGUCUUCGGAUUGUAAAGUGCUUUCAGUUGGGAAGAAGAAAGUGACGGUACCAACAGAAGAAGCGACGGCUAAAUACGUGCCAGCAGCCGCGGUAAUACGUAUGUCGCAAGCGUUAUCCGGAUUUAUUGGGCGUAAAGCGCGUCUAGGCGGAAAAAUAAGUCUGAUGUUAAAAUGCGGGGCUCAACUCCGUAUUGCGUUGGAAACUGUUUUUCUAGAGUACUGGAGAGGUGGGCGGAACUACAAGUGUAGAGGUGAAAUUCGUAGAUAUUUGUAGGAAUGCCGAUGGAGAAGUCAGCUCACUGGACAGAUACUGACGCUGAAGCGCGAAAGCGUG